AGAUCCCUGAGCAGAGCGAGCCUGAGCAACGGAGGAGUGCGAGCUGUUUCCGGCGAAGUUCCUGGCCAAACGCUUGAUCGAAGCGUCGUCCGGACACUGAUCGGGUUCCACCCUUAUCAGUAUCAAUUGAGAUUGAUCUUCCUCUAUGUGCUUAUCUCUGUGAUUAAUCUUCCUAUAGUAAAUCGGUUUUGCUUUCUAACCCAAAUCGAUUUUACAAAUUGAAAUCGUGUGGCGUCUCUUUUCAAGAUUGCAAUUUCAACUUUUCAAGAAUUCAAGAUUUCUCGUCGCCUGCUGAUCUUCUCUCGUCACUCAUCGCUUCUUGAUUGUUGCUUUUCGUGCUUUCAGAUCGUGAUUUCAUCUCACAGGAUUGCAGAUUGCGAUUUCCACAGUUUGCGAUUUCCAUUUGAGGAUUUUGGAUCUGCGAUCUGAGAUGGCAGUUCGUUGUUGCGGUUUCUCAGCUGCGAUUCAGCUAGCGCUCGUUGUCGUUGCUCAUCUGCGAUUUAGGAUUUUCAUUCUUCAAAUCGGUUUGCGUUGAUUUAUGAUUCUUCAUUUACCGAUAUCUUAAUAUCUUGAUUUGUGAUUAAUUUUUUUCUUCUCUAUCCUGAAAAUUGAAAAUCUGCAUAUAGUUAAGAUUGAUUAAUUUAAAACUAUAGGUGGAAGAUGCAUAUUGCUGUUAAUUUCUGAUUCUAUAAUUGUGUCAUCCCCAAAUUUGUUUGUUGAAAACUAGUUUGGGUAAAUCGAUUUCUGUAAAUCAGUUUCCCCUAGAUGUGAUAUUUUUUGCAAUUUAUUUUGUUUCUUCUUCUUGCUAUUGUUGUAAAUCAAUUUCUUGCAAUUGGUUUUCUUUGCAAUUAGAGUUCUUGAAAAUAGGUGUUAUCACGUCAUUUCUUGCAUCUAGUUUUCAAAUUCAUUUCAAGAUUGAAGAUUUUUUUUUUAGUGCAUGUACAAACAAUUUUUCAAAUUAAAAAUAUACUGGAUCAGCAUCCAAAAAAAUAUUCUCUAAAAAAAUUAUGUCGAAUUUAUCAGCUAGCAUGACAAAAAUUGAUAAAUUCAUAUAAUUGAUUGUUUAGGGAUUAAACACUACUUCUACUAAUCCCCAACCAACCGACCAUUGACAUCUUUCUGGACAGGUGCCACACCAUGAAGGAGUCGAGCUCACUAUAAAAGUUCCAAUUCCACCACUUACAAGGGUAGCAAGAACAUCAGAGAGAAAUCACACCAUCGUUCGUCCAAUUUCAUACCCAAAUAAUCGAUUCCCCAUCCGAGCAUGUCAUCAAACAUUGGUGAACCUGACAUGAAUGAUUCUGUUCAAAAAAAUGUAGCAAAUCUAAUCCCAGAGCGAGAAAUCCCAGUCUCGUUCUUAGGGAAAAAACAGGCGGUACCGGAGCGAUUAUCGACGAGGAAGAACACUCACCAAAACUCAGGGAAAUGAUAGAAGAGGAACCAGGAAAACCUGACCUAGAGAAAAUUCCAGAAACCAGGAGAAAACGCGGAAGGGAGGCCGAACCCAACCCAAGCUUCGACCCACUCGACACCGGUGGAGAAGAAAAGAAAUCUUACAGCGAGAAAAGAUUUUACGGAAGCUGGCAAAAUUAAAAAAACAAAUAAAACUUCUAUCUCAAGCAGGGCAGGUAGCGAAAAUUAACCAAGGACUGAGCACGAGCUCACCUAAGUCGUGGUCAAAGGUCCAGACCCAGUGGCCC
rnacentral:lncRNA from 1 species